GAUGAACGCUGGCGGCGUGCCUAAUACAUGCAAGUCGAGCGAACGGACGAGAAGCUUGCUUCUCUGAUGUUAGCGGCGGACGGGUGAGUAACACGUGGAUAACCUACCUAUAAGACUGGGAUAACUUCGGGAAACCGGAGCUAAUACCGGAUGAUAUUUUGAACCGCAUGGUUCAAAAGUGAAAGACGGUCUUGCUGUCACUUAUAGAUGGAUCCGCGCUGCAUUAGCUAGUUGGUAAGGUAACGGCUUACCAAGGCAACGAUGCAUAGCCGACCUGAGAGGGUGAUCGGCCACACUGGAACUGAGACACGGUCCAGACUCCUACGGGAGGCAGCAGUAGGGAAUCUUCCGCAAUGGGCGAAAGCCUGACGGAGCAACGCCGCGUGAGUGAUGAAGGUCUUCGGAUCGUAAAACUCUGUUAUUAGGGAAGAACAUAUGUGUAAGUAACUGUGCACAUCUUGACGGUACCUAAUCAGAAAGCUACGGCUAACUACGUG
rnacentral:rRNA from 1 species